ACAGGCUUAACACAUGCAAGUCGAGGGGCAGCAUGGUCUUAGCUUGCUAAGGCUGAUGGCGACCGGCGCACGGGUGAGUAACACGUAUCCAACCUGCCGUCUACUCUUGGCCAGCCUUCUGAAAGGAAGAUUAAUCCAGGAUGGGAUCAUGAGUUCACAUGUCCGCAUGAUUAAAGGUAUUUUCCGGUAGACGAUGGGGAUGCGUUCCAUUAGAUAGUAGGCGGGGUAACGGCCCACCUAGUCAACGAUGGAUAGGGGUUCUGAGAGGAAGGUCCCCCACAUUGGAACUGAGACACGGUCCAAACUCCUACGGGAGGCAGCAGUGAGGAAUAUUGGUCAAUGGGCGAUGGCCUGAACCAGCCAAGUAGCGUGAAGGAUGACUGCCCUAUGGGUUGUAAACUUCUUUUAUAAAGGAAUAAAGUCGGGUAUGCAUACCCGUUUGCAUGUACUUUAUGAAUAAGGAUCGGCUAACUCCGUGCCAGCAGCCGCGGUAAUACGGAGGAUCCGAGCGUUAUCCGGAUUUAUUGGGUUUAAAGGGAGCGUAGAUGGAUGUUUAAGUCAGUUGUGAAAGUUUGCGGCUCAACCGUAAAAUUGCAGUUGAUACUGGAUGUCUUGAGUGCAGUUGAGGCAGGCGGAAUUCGUGGUGUAGCGGUGAAAUGCUUAGAUAUCACGAAGAACUCCGAUUGCGAAGGCAGCCUGCUAAGCUGCAACUGAC
rnacentral:rRNA from 1 species